rnacentral:rRNA from 2 species
UGUUAGUCAGUGACCAGUGAACAACGCCAGCAGCUUGCUGCUUCUGCUGACGAGUCGGCGGACGGGUGAGUAAUGUCUGGGAAACUGCCUGAUGGAGGGGGAUAACUACUGGAAACGGUAGCUAAUACCGCAUAACGUCGCAAGACCAAAGAGGGGGACCUUCGGGCCUCUUGCCAUCGGAUGUGCCCAGAUGGGAUUAGCUAGUAGGUGGGGUAACGGCUCACCUAGGCGACGAUCCCUAGCUGGUCUGAGAGGAUGACCAGCCACACUGGAACUGAGACACGGUCCAGACUCCUACGGGAGGCAGCAGUGGGGAAUAUUGCACAAUGGGCGCAAGCCUGAUGCAGCCAUGCCGCGUGUAUGAAGAAGGCCUUCGGGUUGUAAAGUACUUUCAGCGGGGAGGAAGGGAGUAAAGUUAAUACCUUUGCUCAUUGACGUUACCCGCAGAAGAAGCACCGGCUAACUCCGUGCCAGCAGCCGCGGUAAUACGGAGGGUGCAAGCGUUAAUCGGAAUUACUGGGCGUAAAGCGCACGCAGGCGGUUUGUUAAGUCAGAUGUGAAAUCCCCGGGCUCAGCCUGGGAACUGCAUCUGAUACUGGCCAGCUUGAAUCUCGUAGAAGGGCGUACAAUUCCGGGGGGAACCGCGAAAUGGCUUCAAAUCCGGAG